CCCAGUCUGACAUUUCUGAGCAGUGUCCUUGUGUUUGUUCCUGCCGUGUAUUAUCUUGGAUUGUUUGUACUGCCUGUGAUUCUCUGCUGCCUGCCCCUUUUACCACUGCUCUUGUUUUUCGACUCUGUUUAUGCUGAUUGCUGCCUGCCCCGACCUCUGCCUGGAAUACGUCUGUCUCUGGAUUAUCUGUGUUAUCCCUGAUGCUGACUUCGCCCUACCAGGAUCCAGCAGCCUCUCGUCAACCGAGAUACCUGUUCCCACCUCUGUGUCAGCGUUUCACCUAUCCAGCUCAACCAUAGAUCCAGUCGACCAGCUACUGCGGCAAGUCUGCGGCAAGGAGAUUGUUCUAUUGAGGAUUACAUACAGCAGUUCUUCCUACCUGACCAGACUUGCUCUCCUGUGCCAUUGACUCCACUGUGGUGGUCCUCUGCUCCGCCCUGGUGGGCUCCUGCCUCGCCAGUCUCAACCUGGCUCUCUGCUUUGCCUGCUCCUCACUGGUGGUCUUCGGCUCUGCCCUGGCACCCUGCUCUGCCUCCCUCCUCUGUCCAUCCACUUCCACAUGGACCUGGCCCUCCAUCCCUCCCCCUGUUCUGCCUCUGCUCCACCUCCCACCUGAACUUUGGUCUGUUCUCAGUUAGGAGCGUCUGGAAGCCCCUUUGACCACUGCUCUUGUUUUUCGACUCUGUUUAUGCUGAUUGCUGCCUGCCCCGACCUCUGCCUGG
ensembl:lncRNA